GGAAUAGUCUACAUUGGUAAGUUAAGACAAUUGCUAAUUGUUCGGGGCAACCUAUAGGUGUUCGAGUCACCUCUAUUCCG
rnacentral:tRNA from 1 species